CUUAUUGGACAAUGGGGGCAACCCUGAUCCAGCCAUGCCGCGUGUGUGAAGAAGGUCNNNGGCUUNUCAAGCCCUUUAAGUAGNGAGNAAGGGCUUUAGGCUAAUACCCUGAGGUUUUAACGUUACCGACAGACUAAGCACCGGCUAACUCUGUACCAGCAGCCGCGGUAAUACAGAGGGGGCAAGCGUUAAGUGGAAUUACUGAGCGUACAGCGCGCGUAGGUGGUUCAGUAAGAUGUGUUUUAAAUCCCCGGGCUUAACCUGGGAACUGCUUUCAUAACUGAUGAGCUAGAGUACGGUAGAGGGUAGUGGAAUUUCCUGUGUAGCGGUGAAAUGCGUCGAUAUAGGAAGGAACACCAGUGGCGAAGGCGACUACCUGGACUGAUACUGACACUGAGGUGCGAAAGCGUGGGGAGCAAACA
rnacentral:rRNA from 1 species